rnacentral:lncRNA from 1 species
CAAUGAACAAUUUAAAGAUUAUUACAUAGUUUGAAACUUAUUACAUUGUUUACCAACUACAAAUAAUUUAUAAACUGAUAUAUAGUAACAGCACAAUCUUCCAACACAUGUUUAUUGCUUCUGCGGAUUCUUUCUUUCGGUAAUCGAAAUGAAGUCUUCUAUGAUUGUUUCCAUGUUCCAAUUUGACAUUUGCUCUGAUUAUUUAGUUUUGAUCCAUAUACAUGCUUUGGUUUAUUGUAAGUCAUCCUGCACAAUAAAAAAACUGAUAAAAUUUACAUGCUGCAAUCUACAUAGUUUCCUAAUGGCAUAUAAAUGCAUGCAAGACAAGCAUAUUAUAUUAAAAAUAAAAAUUAUUUUAACCGUUGUCCAAGCAUAUGCAAAAUGAUAGCAACCACAGAACAUAAUUUUACACAUAAACAUGAAAAGGCAAAGUCAGGAGAAAACUAAAAUUAUAAGGAUAUUGUGAUGACAAAUGAAAAGGAUUCAGAGUUUUCACACUCUAUUUCCUUUGAGAAAAAAAGAAAAAAAAAAGAUUAAAGUUUUUACACAACAUAAUUUUAGAUUUAGUCAAAAUUAACCAUGGUAUAAAAUUGUUAUCAAUAGAAACAGUAAAAGAAACAUAGAUAAAAGGGAUGAUAUAAAAUUGUUAUCAAUAGAAACAGUAAAAGCAGCAUAGAUAAAAAGGAAUGUGAAAAUAUGUCAUUUACCUAACAUCACUUCCUUUGCGGAAUAUGCGAAUAGAUGGAUACGCUUGUAUAUGAUGCCUGAACAUUCAUUAUGGACUGAAUAUCAACAACAAAAGUGAUGAUCACAAUAGCAAGAAUGUGAAAAAACAGAAAAUCAACUGAAAGUGAGAAAACGUUAAUCUAGGAAUUACCUCCUACACAACUCGACUUCUUCAGUGCAAUCAAAUUUUGCCAAAAGAAUACGUCCAUCCAUUUCGGGAUCAUACCUGUAAAAAGCGAACAUGAAUAAAAAAUCCUUAAAGCAUGGUAUAAAACUGGGUUUGCUAAGCUAAUAACUGAAUGAGGAGACAGAUUUACCAUUUACAACAUUUAUCUACAGAAAAGAAUUAAGGGAGGGAAAAAAAACCUUUCUCUCAUUGUUUUGGCUGCUUUCUCCCAUGAUGGUUUCUGGAAGAAGAAGAAAUAGUGAGGCAAAUAUAAAGAGAGAGAGAAAGAGGAGAAAUUAUUAACAACAUCAUGAGAGGAAGUCUAACAAUACAGUCAAACAAACAAAAGAAAACCCAUGCUUAGUUGUAUAACAAGCAUGGAAAGUUCAACACAAACACAAACACAGAGACCAAUGGAGUUGACCAAAGUAAUGAAGGAAUUUCUGUGCACAUGUCAGUGGACACACAGAGCAAUGGAGUUAAACAACUUAAUAUGUGUGCAUAUGAACAGGCACAAACAUGACAUCCAAGUGAAUAAAUUUAAAAUAUUAUAUCUGGCAAUUACAUCAACACAAACAUGAGAAAGAAUAGAUCCAAUAAGGUAAAUCUAGACAACAAUGAUAAAAAAGCAACAACCCAAAAUUUGAGAAACAAAAGGUGAAAACAAAAAUAC